rnacentral:misc_RNA from 1 species
CAGCAGCCCGGCUUGAACGGAGCUCUUUUUCUUUUUUUGCUAAAAAAGAAAAAAGCGGGAGUGGAAGACGGAUAAAGC